rnacentral:rRNA from 1 species
AUGCAAGUCGAGCGGACAGAUGGGAGCUUGCUCCCUGAUGUUAGCGGCGGACGGGUGAGUAACACGUGGGUAACCUGCCUGUAAGACUGGGAUAACUCCGGGAAACCGGGGCUAAUACCGGAUGGUUGUUUGAACCGCAUGGUUCAAACAUAAAAGGUGGCUUCGGCUACCACUUACAGAUGGACCCGCGGCGCAUUAGCUAGUUGGUGAGGUAACGGCUCACCAAGGCRACGAUGCGUAGCCGACCUGAGAGGGUGAUCGGCCACACUGGGACUGAGACACGGCCCAGACUCCUACGGGAGGCAGCAGUAGGGAAUCUUCCGCAAUGGACGAAAGUCUGACGGAGCAACGCCGCGUGAGUGAUGAAGGUUUUCGGAUCGUAAAGCUCUGUUGUUAGGGAAGAACAAGUACCGUUCGAAUAGGGCGGUACCUUGACGGUACCUAACCAGAAAGCCACGGCUAACUACGUGCCAGCAGCCGCGGUAAUACGUAGGUGGCAAGCGUUGUCCGGAAUUAUUGGGCGUAAAGGGCUCGCAGGCGGUUUCUUAAGUCUGAUGUGAAAGCCCCCGGCUCAACCGGGGAGGGUCAUUGGAAACUGGGGAACUUGAGUGCAGAAGAGGAGAGUGGAAUUUCCACGUGUAGCGGUGAAAUGCGUAGAGAUGUGGAGGAACACCAGUGGCGAAGGCGACUCUCUGGUCUGUAACUGACGCUGAGGAGCGAAAGCGUGGGGGAGCGAACAGGAUUAGAUACCCUGGUAGUCCACGCCGUAAACGAUGAGUGCUAAGUGUUAGGGGGUUUCCGCCCCUUAGUGCUGCAGCUAACGCAUUAAGCACUCCGCCUGGGGAGUACGGUCGCAAGACUGAAACUCAAAGGAAUUGACGGGGGCCCGCACAAGCGGUGGAGCAUGUGGUUUAAUUUCGAAGCAACGCGAAGAACCUUACCAGGUCUUGACAUCCUCUGACAAUCCUAGAGAUAGGACGUCCCCUUCGGGGGCAGAGUGACAGGUGGUGCAUGGUUGUCGUCAGCUCGUGUCGUGAGAUGUUGGGUUAAGUCCCGCAACGAGCGCAACCCUUGAUCUUAGUUGCCAGCAUUCAGUUGGGCACUCUAAGGUGACUGCCGGUGACAAACCGGAGGAAGGUGGGGAUGACGUCAAAUCAUCAUGCCCCUUAUGACCUGGGCUACACACGUGCUACAAUGGACAGAACAAAGGGCAGCGAAACCGCGAGGUUAAGCCAAUCCCACAAAUCUGUUCUCAGUUCGGAUCGCAGUCUGCAACUCGACUGCGUGAAGCUGGAAUCGCUAGUAAUCGCGGAUCAGCAUGCCGCGGUGAAUACGUUCCCGGGCCUUGUACACACCGCCCGUCACACCACGAGAGUUUGUAACACCCGAAGUCGGUGAGGUAACCUUUUAGGAGCCAGCCGCCGAAG